AUUGACAUAAGCAUAUCAUGAGUUUAUUAACAAUAUAAAGUGAUCAAACGAUUUUGUAUUUGUUGCAUGCAAAGUUAGAGUAAAAAAAUGGCUAAAACUCUCAAGGUUUUUUAUACUAUGAUCCUUUUUAUGUUCUUUUGUCUUGUUCUAGUCGAUGUUGGUGCUAAAACAUGUAUGUCUGACAUCGAUUGUCUAGAUUUCGAGUGUCCCAUUAAUGGUGGUGGAUUUUGCAUAGAUGGUCAUUGUAGGUGCUCUUUUGGUGCACUUAAAGGUUAAAUUCAACAUAACGAUGACAAGCAAUCAAUGGAGCUUUUCUUGUGGAACUGAAAUACUAGAGGCUUUUACUUCACUUUAUUUUAAGAGUUUUUUUUUACGAUCAUUGAUUUUCUGGUAGGGGUAGAGAUCUUUGGAAUUCAAUAGUAUCUUUUGAAUAAGUUACUCUAUUUAAUAAUUGUUUGUAUUGUUUAAUAUUUAGUGUUUACACUUGUUUUAUUUUUUAGUUUUCAAAGUUAUGAGUUAUAAAAUUAUUGUUAUUAUUUAUAAAAAA